AAGGGGCAGUUACACAUGGACAACCUGCCCCGAGGUCCGGGAUAGCCUUCCUAACGGAAGGGUAAUACCGGGAGUCCUGGCGGGGGGGCAUCCCCUCGCCAGCAAAGCUCCGGCGCCUCGGGAGGGGUUCAUGCGAUAUCAGCUAGUUGGCGGGGUGACGGCCCACCAAGGCCAAGACGUCUAGCAGGUGUGAGAGCACGACCUGCGCCACUGGCACUGGGACACUGGCCAGACUCCUACGGGAGGCUGCAGUCGAGGAUCUUCGGCAAUGGGCGCAAGCCUGACCGAGCGACGCCGCGUGAGCGAUGAAGGCCUUCGGGUUGUAAAGCUCUGUCGUGGGGGAGAAAAGGGGCAACCCUUGAUCGACCCCAGGAGGAAGCACGGGCUAAGUUCGUGCCAGCAGCCGCGGUAAGACGAACCGUGCGAACGUUAUUCGGAAUCACUGGGCUUAAAGGGCGCGUAGGCGGGAUCGCAAGUCAGGGGUGAAAGCCUCCGGCCCAACCGGAGAAGCGCCUUUGAUACUGCGGUCCUCGAGGGGUGCAGGGGCAUGCGGAACUCGGGGUGGAGCGGUGAAAUGCGUAGA
rnacentral:rRNA from 1 species